rnacentral:rRNA from 1 species
GCGCGAAAACGUUUACAAUGCAGGAAACUGUGAUAAGGGAACCCCGAGUGCCCGUAUACGCGGGCUGUCCGGGUGUAUAAAAAGCAUCUGAAGAAAGGGCCGGGCAAGACCGGUGCCAGCCGCCGCGGUAAUACCGGCGGCUCGAGUGGUGACCACUUUUAUUGGGCUUAAAGCGUUCGUAGCUGGACUCUUAAGUCUCUUGGGAAAUCCCGCGGCUCAACCGUGGGGCGUUUAAGAGAACUGGGAGUCUAGGAACCGGGAGAGGUAAGAGGUACUUCGGGGGUAGAAGUGAAAUUCUGUAAUCCUCGAGGGACUCACCGAUGGCGAAGGCAUCUUACCAGAACGGGUUCGACGGUGAGGGACGAAAGCUGGGGGCACGAACCGGAUUAGAUACCCGGGUAGUCCCAGCCGUAAACGAUGCUCGCUAGGUGUCAUGCAUGGUGCGACCGUGUAUGGUGCCGUAGGGAAGCCGUGAAGCGAGCCACCUGGAAGUACGGCCGCAAGCUGACUAA